rnacentral:tRNA from 1 species
GCGGCAGUGGCGGAAUUGGUAGACGCACCAGCUUGAGGGGCUGGCGAUGGCAACAUUGUGGGAGUUCGAAUCUCCCCUGCCGCACCA